rnacentral:lncRNA from 1 species
AUAUUAGAUAAGCUUAUGCUUGAUACAUGUGGAAAUGAAUCCAACUAGUACCCCUGAAGAUGCAGGUUCGAUCCCUGGCCUCACUCAGUGGGUUGGGGAUCCAGCGUUGCCGUGAGCUGUGGUAUAGGUCACAGACAUGGCCUGGGUCCCGAGUUGCUGCGGCUCUGGUGUAGGUUGGUAUCUGUGGCUCUGAUUUGACCCCUAGCCUGGGAAAUUCCAUAUGCUGCGUGUGGCCAUAAAAAGACAAAUAAAUAAAUAAAUGGAGAGACUAUUUUGUCACAAAAGUGCCUAAAAAUUAAUAUAUAUAUUAAUAACAUAUAUGGUAUGUAUUAUUACUUUAUAUGUAUAAUAAAGUGUACACGUAUAUUUUAUAAGUACAUUUUUACCUAUCAUAGAAUGCACAAAUCCUAAAUAUAUAGUUUGGCGGGUUUUGACAAAUGUAUAUGCUCAUGUUAGCUUCACCUAAAUCAAGAUACAGAAUGUUUCCAUCACCCCAGAAAUUUCCUUCCUGUCCCUUUUCAGUCAGUUCGCCUAUCUCUUCCAGAGGCACUGGCUGUUUGAUUUCUCCCACCAUGGGUUUGUCUUGUCUGUAUUUUGAAAUUCAUAUAAAUGAAAUAAUGUAGUACGUACUCUUUUGUGUCUGGCUUUUUUCACUCAAAAUAUUUUGGAGAGAUUUCAUAUUGUUGUCUGAUCAUGGUUCUUUUCUAUUGUGAAAUAGUAUUUUGUCAUAUACAUAUGCCACUUGCUUUAUAUUUUUGCCUGUUGAUGGAUAGACAUUUGGACUGUUUAUUUUUUUCCAGCUAUUAUGAAUAAAGCUGCUAUAUAUGGUCCAAUUCUGCCAUAUCUUUGCCAGUCUUUGAUCUUGUCUGUCUUUUGAAUUUUAGCCAUUGUAGUGUAUGUGGAAAAAGGGGAAAAGUACAGAAAUCCUCCCUUAUCUGCAGGUGAUACUUUCCAAAUUAGGCAAAGGAAGAGAUUACAUGAGAGAGUAGAACAAUUAUAACUAAUAUACUGUGAUGAAAGUUAUGUGAAUGUGAUCUCUUUCAAAAGAUCUUCUUGUUCAAAUAUAAUGCCUUUUCCAUCUUAGCUAAGCACUUAGCACUCACUGUGGUUGUGACUUUCGCAGUUUUAAGUGCAGCAGCAAACCUAGCAUGAAGUAUUCUUUCCUUCUUCUCGAUCUCCUGAAGAGAAAAUUUAUUCUUACCAUAGAUCUUAUUAGCAUCCUCAGCAUGUGGUUUUUUUCUUUCCCUAUUAAGUCGAGAACUUUUACCUUUUCACUUCAAGGAAGCACUUUUUGGCUUCUCUUUGGCAGCUCUGAACUGCCAUCAUCACUCUUCUUGCAUUUUGGGACCAUUAUUGAGUAAAAUGAAGGUCACGUGAACACCAGCACUGCGGUACCAGGAUGGCCAAUUUGAUAACUGAGCUCUUAAGUGACUAUCGGUUGGGAUACCCUAAACAAAGUGAUGAUUCAUGUCCUGGGCAGGACAGAGCGGGAAGGUGGGAAAUUUCAUCAUGAUGCUUGUCGCACAGUUUUAAAUGUAUUAAUUGUUUAUUUCUGGAAUUUUCUUUUUAAUAUUUUCAUACCAUAGUUGACUGUGGCUAACUGAAAUCACAGAAAAUGAAACAGCAGAAGCAGGGAAACUCUGGUAAUUCAGGAAACUUAGCUCCAGGAUGAAGUAUUUGUUGAGCAUUUGCUUUCGGAUGUGCCAGGCCCUUGGCUAAGCUAGUGCUUUAUGGGCAUUUUGUUCUGGAUUCUGACUCACGUGUCAGAAACUGAGGUCCAGAGUGUUCGGGUGGCUUUUCCAAAGGUGAAACAAGUGGCUGAAGAAGAGCUGGAACUGAGCCGUGUUGGAUCCCAAAACCCAUGCUCCUAGUUCCUGGGUCAGUGGAUCUUGAAGUGGGGUCCAGAUCAGUGGCAUUAAGAUCACCUGGGGACUGGCUAGUCGUGCAGAUUCCUGGGCCUCACCCAAGCCCUACCGAUACCUAAACUCAGGAGGGUGGAGCCUGUGGGGUGUUUUUAACAAGGCCUAAGGGAAUUCCGAUGCAUGCUCAUUUUUGAGCACCACUGUCCUAGGGUGUAGACAUUGAAAACAUGGCAUCAAAUGAGGCACGUGACCUGUGUUCCAGAAUAAGCUAGGCUGCUAGAGUUGUCAUGUCUACUAGUUCACCUCUUUGGGUCUUUCUUUCUUUCUUUCCUUUCUUUUUUUGGCUUCCAGGGGCAAAUCUGCAGCAUAUGGAAGUUCCCAGGCUAGGGGUCAUAUCAGAGCCACAGACACUAGCCUACACCAUAGCCACAGCAACGCCGGAUCCUCGAACCACUGAGUGAGGCCAGGAAUUGAACCCACAUCCUCAGGGAUACUAGUUGGAUUUGUUUCCACUGUGCCACAACGGGAACUCCUGGGCCUUUCUUUAUACCUAAAAUAAGUAUGCCCCUUCAGGUCCUUUGCCCUCAUAAAAUGCUAAGAUUCCCUGAAUAACCCAGACUUCAAAUGUUUAAAAUAGUGUGAUUGUAGUUUCCCAAUCUACUAAUAUUAUAGGUCAUGCUUACAUAUUUUUAUAAGGGAAUUUUGUGGUUUUGCAAAUUACCCAGGAACCAAAACUGUCCCUCCACUUUUUUUUUAUAGACAGAAUGGAGACAAUAAAUAAGACACAAUUAAAACAACCACAACACUACCACCAGACCCUUCCUCUCGCUGUAAUGAGAGACUUAUGACCAUAUACAUGUAGUUCUUGGUGCCUUUUUGGGUUUUGCUUCAACACUGUUUAUUUGGACCCAUUGGAAUAUAUUACGACAGCUGUAAAAAAAUAAUUCUGUUCUCAUUUUAAGACACAGUGUCUUGGAGUUCCUGCUAUGGCUCAGUGGGUUAAGGACCUGACUUUGUCUCUCCGAGGAUAUGGGUUCUAUCCCUGGCCUCACUCAGUGGGUUAAGGAUCUGUGUGUUGCUGUGGCUGUGGCAUAGGCCCCAGCUGCAGCUCUGUUUCAGCCUCUGGUCUGGUAACUUCCAUAUUCCACAGGUGUGGCCUUAAAAAUAUUUUAAAUUAAAAUAAAAUAAAACAUAGAGUCCUGCUUGAUUUCCUGUGAAUUCAGCUUCUGGGUCUCUGGAUUUGCCACCCUCCCAGCGCAAGAUUGACUCCUUUCCUUAGUAUUCAGAAAAACCUCCUCAUCUGGUGGUGUGCUACUAAAGGCUUAACAACCAGCUCUGGUGGAUGGGAGACCCUGAUUUGUAGCAUUUUUGGAGUCUGGAAGAGAUGCAUGCAUUUGAUUCUCCAAGCCAGUAUGAGCUGGUCCCAGCAUUCCACUGACCCCAUAUAAAAUAGCUCCCUGGGUUGCAUGCCACUGUCCUGGUUUGUGUCUUCAUAAUUUGACAUAAUUUCCCUUUAUCUUCUUCUCUUGCUUCUUUAUUGUCUGUCUCUCUUCCCACUGGAAUGCAAGGUCCCUGAAAACAAGAAGUUUAUCUCACUUGUUCAACUCUCGGUUUCCCAGCGCCAGAAAUAGUACCUGGAAAAUCAGUGGUGUUCACUAAAAUUUUUUGGCUGCAUGAAUGAAUUUUCUCUUAUCCCUCUGUAUUCCGAUGAGAAGUGCAGACCCGGCCAUCUACCACAUCUUUCCUUCUUUCCUCCCUGUCCAUCUUUGAUUUCUUCUCAUUUAGGAUCCUAAUAUGUUCAUUUUCCUCAUCAUGUGAUAUUCCAAUCAGCUGAUUCCCUGUGUCUAAUAAUUUAUACUGAGCUAUAAAUAAAUGACCGACAAGGCGUAAUGAAUUAUAUUUACGUAUUUCUGCCUGUUGACUCUAGGUGGAGUUUAAGAAGUGAAAUUUCAGAUGUUCAGGUGGAUGAGUGGCUUUUCUGUUUUCUGUUCUUGUGAGACCUGUUCUAUGUCAUCAUCCAGGAGAAUAACACUUUACCUCCGUUUUCUUGUAGCAUUGUCCCUGGGUGCAGUUUUUCCAGCCAACAGUGAAUCUUUGCUACAGAAAACAGUCUGAUUUUUGUCCUCUCUUGCUCUUAAACUGUGCUUCGUGUUUAUAUUUCUUUUUUUUUUAACUUGAACUUUCAAAAAAAAAAAAUCAAUCUAUUUUUGUCUUUGGUGCCAAAAGACCACUCUCUGAAGGAUAUUUUUAGUUUCCACUGUGACAUUCUACAGCUUUUACCCAAAAAAAAAAAAAAAAAAAAAAAAAA